rnacentral:lncRNA from 1 species
GUAAACAACAACAUAACUGCAUAGUUAUUAAUUUAAUAAAGUUAGUUUAAUAAAUAAAUCUUUUUUAUGUGUAUUUUGUUUUCUUCAGCUUGUCACUAAUUUUUUUUCGCAAACUGUUAAAAAGAUUCUCUAUUUGAAAAAAAGAAGAAAAGACAAGAACAUUGUUACUAUCACUAUCAUAUUAUUUUAUAGGUUCUUUAUUUUUCUAUUAUUUUUAUGUAUUAUUUUAUAAUUUUUAUUAGAAUUGUUCAAUUUAAAUGAUGUAUUCCCUCCGGUCCUUUUUUAUAAGGAACACUUUGAAAAAUAAAAU